GACGAACGCUGGCGGCGUGCUUAACACAUGCAAGUCGAACGGAAAGGCCCCUUUGGGGGUACUCGAGUGGCGAACGGGUGAGUAACACGUGAGUAACCUGCCCUUGACUUCGGGAUAACUUCAGGAAACUGGGGCUAAUACCGGAUAGGAAUCCUUGCUGCAUGGUGGGGGUUGGAAAGCUUCGGCGGUUUUGGAUGGACUCGCGGCUUAUCAGCUUGUUGGUGGGGUAGUGGCUUACCAAGGCUUUGACGGGUAGCCGGCCUGAGAGGGCGACCGGCCACAGUGGGACUGAGAUAGGGCCCAGACUCCUACGGGAGGCAGCAGUGGGGAAGAUUGCACAAUGGGCGGAAGCCUGAUGCAGCAACGCCGCGGGCGGGAUGACGGCCUUCGGGUUGUAAACCGCUUUCAGCAGGGGCGAAGCUUGUGGUGACGGUACCUGCAGAAGAAGCACCGGCUAACUACGUG
rnacentral:rRNA from 1 species